GAUGAACGCUGGCGGCGUGCCUAAUACAUGCAAGUCGAGCGAAUGGAUUAAGAGCUUGCUCUUAUGAAGUUAGCGGCGGACGGGUGAGUAACACGUGGGUAACCUGCCCAUAAGACUGGGAUAACUCCGGGAAACCGGGGCUAAUACCGGAUAACAUUUUGAACCGCAUGGUUCGAAAUUGAAAGGCGGCUUCGGCUGUCACUUUUGGAUGGACCCGCGUCGCAUUAGCUAGUUGGUGAGGUAACGGCUCACCAAGGCAACGAUGCGUAGCCGACCUGAGAGGGGGAUCGGCCACACGGGGACGGAGACACGGCCCAGACUCCUACGGGAGGCAGCAGUAGGGAAUCUUCCGAAAUGGACGAAAGUCUGACGGAGCAACGCCGCGUGAGUGAUGAAGGCUUUCGGGUCGUAAAACUCUGUUGUUAGGGAAGAACAAGUGCUAGUUGAAUAAGCUGGCACCUUGACGGUACCUAACCAGAAAGCCACGGCUAACUACGUGCCAGCCGCCGCGGUAA
rnacentral:rRNA from 1 species